ACAAAUUAACGGAGUUACACACCGUGACAGUAGACGAAAAAAAGGUGGGGGUGGUGUGUGUAUAUCAGGAAAGAAAAUGUAGUAGAUGAAGAAUAGAAUAUAUCAAAAACGGGACAAAAAAAUAAUAAUCGAGACGAGAAAAGAAAAAAGGGGUCAAAUUUUGUGUGAUUGUAUUUUUGACAAUUUUGGCCACUAAACCAGAUAGAAUAUCCAUUGUGUAUGGAAUGAGAGCCUUUUUUUUUACCUCGAUUGCGAUUCUUCUUCGUAGUGGACGAGUUCAAUUUUUCAAAGUACAUCCAUGCACUCAUCAUUUUUCCAUCCCCCACCACGAGCCGUACGAGAUCUUCAACCUGCGUUAAAAAAAAAAUUAUAUAUGACUUGUGCGGUUAAAAAACGAAAGCUCGUCUUUAUUAAAGUGAUCGCCUCUCAAAUGGUUGUCUAAGUUAAGUGGAAUACAAAAGCAAAUAAACUCCGUGAAAAACGACUACAUGGGGAUUAAGACAUUCGAUAACUGUUGAUUGUAUAAAAAAAAUCUGUAUUCGAGUAAUCGUAUGAACUAAUUUCACUUGAAUAUAAUCAAAUAAAAAUGAAAAAUACAUGAUAUCUAAUUAUUUAAAUAUGGUUACAUAAAAGUAAAUCGUUGACUCACCAAUUAAUUUUCUACAAGUGUUCUACUUUGAGAAAAAAGAAAAAAGGAUUGCCAUCCCCAUCGUCUAAAGGCUUCGUCCUAUUCCUUCACGUUACUAAAUAUCGUUAGCUAAAAACCGACGUAUUAUUCGAAAACAAUUUACUUUCGCUGACAAUUACCACAAAUUUCUUCAUCUCAGAUACACUCCCCCGGGAUUUCUCUAUCAUAACCAAUUAAAUUGUUACAUUCUAACACCCCACCACUCGUAAUUAACACUCUUUUUCUAUGAUGUAAGCAUAAAGCAUCCUUUUUUCUUUCGAAUUUUAAAAAAGAUUAUCCACAACUCAAUUUAAUUUAAUUACAUGUAUUGUCUAGAUCAUGUUGCAUGCUUUCAUGUAACAUGUAAAAUACAUGCAUACAUGCAUACAUGCAUACAUGUACAUAAUGUUUUUAUGUGAAUACAUGUGGUCUCAUCUUUGAGGAACUCUACUGUACUCUAAAGUAAUAUAUAUGGGGGCCACUGCCCCCUUCCCAUGUACUAUAAAUAACCCCCUCCCACAACUUCCAAUUGCCCUUCAAAAAACUCACAGCAUAUCUUACCCACUCAUAUUAAAAGAAAAUGCAAUCCAAUCAGGUUACCGACCUUCAAUAUCUACUAAACUCGAACCCAUCUAAUUUCCCGUCCCAUUUCGGCCUCGCUAAUAACCAUAUGGUUACAAACUCGAUAUAUCAAUUCCAAAUCCCUCAACAAGUUCAAGAAUUCAACCCUAAGUCAACGAGUUUCAGCAGUAACUCGACUUCAGACGAAGCGGAGGAGCAAAUAAGCAUAAUAAACGAGAGGAAGCAGAGGAGGAUGAUUUCUAACCGAGAAUCCGCACGGAGGUCGCGCAUGCGCAAGCAAAAGCACUUGGACGAGCUUUGGUCGCAGGUUGUGUGGCUCAGGAACGAG
rnacentral:lncRNA from 1 species